GUGAAUCAUCAAAUUUUUGAACGCAAAUUGCACUCUCUUCGUAGACUAUGCGUGAUUGAGGGUCAGCCUAACAAAAAAUCCACAUAGUCGCUGUUUCGCGGUGACAUUCAUCGGAAAUCGGGUCAUCUUAAACCUUAGGGUUGUAAGCGGCUUAAAAUUUUCUUUUCGAUUCGACGAAUGAUUCUAUGAUUUACUUCAUACACGUUUAAGGUAUCGAUCUUUAUUAUACGAGGCC
rnacentral:misc_RNA from 1 species